GUUAUUUGACUGGAGUGAGGUCUCAUGUCUGCUUAUGCGGUGGCUCGCUGCUCAGAACAGGGUCUGAUGGACAGGAAAUGGUAAGGUUUCUGAAAACCUAAGGAUCACACAGCGAGUUCCAAAGGCUGAAAGUGCAUACCUGUCGACACUGAUACCAAUGACAUCCAAUGGAGGAAGAGGGUAAUCUGGAAGAGUUUCCUGACCUACUCUGCUGCUGUGAUUAAACAACCACCAGGAAAUUUUGAUGACACUGUUCUCCUGAGCUCCUCCCUUUCCUCGGGGAAGAAAAGCAUUGAAACUACAAAAAUAAAGUGUUAUUUGGCUGGAGUGAGGUCUCAUGUCUGCUUAUGCGGUGGCUCGCUGCUCAGAACAGGGAACCAUUGGAGAUACUCAUUACUCUUUGAAGGCUUACAGUGGAAUGAAUUCAAAUACGACUUAUUUGAGGAAUUGAAGUUGACUUUAUGGAGCUGAUAAGAAUCUUCUUGGAGAAAAAAAGACUGGGUAUAUUUUCAAUAUGCUUUCCUUUUAAGGUCCCUCACCUGUGGAAAGUAAAGAAUGUCACUUUCUGACAGGCUCAGGAACCUCAAGUUAUGUAGGGAUCUCAAGAAGAUGGGGGAAUUCACCCAGUUCAUACAGGUGAAAUUGCUGUUGCAAAGAUUAUGAAUAUGAGAGAAGUCCAGCAUGGCUGACUUCAUCUCGUGUCUGGCCUCAGGCUGGCUGCCCUUGCUCACUCUUGGGCAUAGGCCAAGCUAGCCAUGGGAGGAAUUUAGUUUAUAGUUUAACUUUGAAGCACGGAUGAUAAUAGUCUCUCCCUAAAAUGAACCCCUUCCUUGCUCAGGGACUGAAACUACCUUUGUAUGACAAAUGAAAGCCCACAAGAUUAAGAUUAUGAGAGGGGCCUGAAUUCUGCUAAAAUGCAGGUGUAGCUGACUGAUAACAAGUCAUUGUCCCACAGCUUGCCUUUCUAUAAUCUCUUGCUUCUCAGGAGUCACAUGGCCAGAGGUCCUGAGAUUUCCAGUCCUGUGACCCCCACCCAGAGAUGGACUUAGUGCAUGAGGACCAUUUUCCACACCCCUAUGAUUUCAUCCUCAAACAAUCAGCAGCAACCAUUCCCUAGCCCCCUGCCUUCCAAAUUAUCCAUAAAAAUCCUAGCCUCUGAGUUAUUAGGGAGAUUGAUUAAUAAUCCCAGUCCUACCCCUUGGGUUGCUCUGAUUUAAUUAAACCUUCUCUACUGCAAUACCACGGACUCAGUAAAUUGGUUUUGUCUGUGCAAUGGGCAAGAAGAACAUGUUGCAUGGUUAUACAGGUACUACAAGCACAGUCUGAUGGCAAAUUAUUGGUUUUGCUUCCUGCCCUUGAUGUUUCUAAACAUCUAGUCCAAAAUUACUUGUGAAAGGUCCAGCAAAGCCAAUUUUAAAAGAGGCUAUAUGGCCAAUCACUAUUCUUUCUACACAUUAUUGCAAAUAAUCAGGCCACGGCUGGGCACGGUGGCUCAUGCCUGCAAUCCCAGCACUUUGGGAGGCUGAGGCAGGAUCACCUGAAAUCAGGAGUUCAAGACCAGCCUAGGCAACAUGAUAAAACCCUGUCUCUACUAAAAAUACAAAAUUAGCCAGGCAUGGUGGCAUGCACCUGUAAUCCCAGCUACUUGGGAGACUGAGGGAGGAGAAUCACUUGAACCUGGGAGGCAGAGAUUGCAGUGAGCUGAGAUCACACCACUGCACUCCAGCCUGGGCAAUAGAGUGAGACUUUGUCUCAAAUAAUAAUAAUAAUAAUCAGACCAAGUAUAAUGAAAUUAAAAUUUAUUUUGCAAAUAAAUUGGUCCUACUACAAUUUAUCCUUCAU
ensembl:lncRNA PCAT19 prostate cancer associated transcript 19